AUGACGACAAGGACCACCCGCUCAUCACAAGGCAGGCGGCCAGAAAGCCCUGGAAAGAAUGUUGCUGAAAAUUCUGACAGUCAUGAUGAGUACCAGGGAGGCAAUGAUGCUGAGUCUGAUGCUGACUCCGAUGAUGAUAACGAUUUUGAUGAUAUGGAUUAUCGAGUUGUUCAUCAUUUCUGUAACAAUCCUUUUGUUGCUUCAGGCAGUGGUACCGCGAAUGUAGAUAUGGGCAGCGGUCCAGCUGAUGAUGACAUCACACAUCUAGAUGAUGCAACUUUCAAAGCUCAUGAGGACAUAGGACCAGAUGUUGAAGACAUGCCUGUCCGCCCUGUCGAUGAGAACCUCAAUGAGUCUCAGAUCUUGCUCACUGGCACCUCUCAUGCAGCAUCAGUCGGAUCAGGUGAUGGAGGGCUUAGCCAGCAAGGUCUGACAGACACGCAAGCUGAGGUGGCCACUGAAUCUUUUGUCAAGCGGUGUGGUUCUCAGCUUUUGAAAAAAUUGGCUUAUCAGAGGCGCAAGAAACUGAGGCUACCAUCACCCCCCGUUCAGCUUCACCAACUGUGUCUCUCCGUCCAACUUCACCAGUUGUGCCUCCUAGCCCAUCGCAAAGGCCGUCUUCACCAAUUGCACUGCCAGCAGCUGAAAUUCAUUUAG
rnacentral:rRNA from 1 species